rnacentral:rRNA from 1 species
AGUCUAGCCUGCUCACUGAUNAUAAUAUUAAUAGCCGCGGUAUCUUGACCGUGCAAAGGUAGCAUAAUCAUUAGUUCUUUAAUUGGGAACUCGUAUGAAUGGUUGGACAAAGAAGAGACUGUCUCUUUUGUUAAAAUUGAACUUAACUUCUAAGUGAAAAGGCUUAGAUNUUCUAGAGGGACGAUAAGACCCUAUAAAGCUUUAUAAAGUUAGAGAUUUUAUACAUAUUGACAUAACAAUAAUUUCUCGAAUUUUUAUUUGGUUGGGGCGACAAUAGUAUAAUGAAAGUAACUGCUUUUAUAUAACAACAAAAAUAUUUGAGUUAUAAUUAAUUGAUCCUUUUUAAAGAUUUUAAGAUCAAGUUACUUUAGGGAUAACAGCGUUAUUUUUCCUGAGAGUUCUUAUCAAAGGAAAAGUUUGCGACCUCGAUGUUGAAUUAAAAUGUCUAUAUAGUGCAGCAGCUAUAUAAGAAGGUCUGUUCGACCUUUAAUAUUUUACAUGAUUUGAGUUCAGACCGGCGGGAGCCNGGUCGGUUUCUAUCUUCUAGAANGANAAAGGUCNCUUUAGUACGNAAGGANUGAGUGNUCAAAAAUCUNUUGAUAAUUGAAAU